CAAAGUUAUAAAAUGUUUUCUGGAAGAAAUGAAGUUUAAGAUGAGUUUGGAGCACACGGGUGUCCUGGAUUGAUGGAGAGGGCAGGGAAAGGUGGCAACAGGUCGUGUGUCACUGACAUUCAUCCUCCUACUUGCCAGGAACCCAGACAGAGCUGUGACCGAAUCUGUCAUGCAGACAGCAGCAAGAUUAUAGGGACGGCCCAGCCACAAACUGGAAGGGUCCUUGGUCACUUUGUAAGUGCCCAGAUCAAAGCUGUCCCCCUCACCUGAACUGUACACCUUGAUUCGUAUAUGGAAGAGGAAUAAGCUCCACUGUUCUUCUGGCACAUUAUCGUCAGACAUUAUCUCAUGAUUUGUCCUUCCCAUAUGACAUAUAGAAUUUGGAAAAUGCUCAGUGUUUAUUCAAUUCAUGCUAUACACAGUGGCAUAUGUGCCAUAACCAAAAAAGACUAGGAGUUUGGCCUUGUGGUCAGAUGUGGGUAGCUGCGCCCUGCUCCGUCUGGCUUGCCCUGCCCGCUUGCAUCCAGGAGACCAUGAGGACACCCCCCUUCCACCCCAGAGGCCCACAGGCUGCCGGCUUGGCCAUUCGGGCACCUGUAACAACAGCCCCUGCCUCUAGCCUCUUGGCCAUGCAGCUACCUGGUUCCACACUACAGAGGCACAGGGGGACAUAAAGGCCAUUGUCCUGAGUUGCAGAGGUGAAGAGCAGAGAAAGGGCCUCUUUCAGGCUUCCUGAUGAAGACUGAAGCCCACUGGAAAAGAGAAGAUAAUCUCUGCAGUAAAGGCACACCACACCGCCGUACUUGGUAAGUUGAAGGGAUCAUCACCUCCCAUUUGAUCCUGGACUAUUUUCAGGGGAAAGACAGCUGGAACCUGUAGUAGAGCCUUGCAGAGUUCAGCUCUGCAGAAGGGCGGGGAGCUCAAUUUGGAAACUGCAGCCAGAAGUCUGUCUGAAUCUCACAGGUCUGUGACUGGCUUACUGGGACUCAUUGAUUUAUAACUGUCAUUACCAAAAACGAAAAUGAAAAGACAUUUAAGCAAGUCACAAACCCAGGCUUCCACCACACAAAAGGCAGUUUCUGGGGAAAACGAGGUGGAAAAGUUUCACAGUCAACCACCUGGACACCCUGAACUGAUAGCACAGGAAGUGACAAAACAGAUGAAUGAGGCCGUAGAAAAUUUCAAAGCACAAAUAAUCUCCAAGAUAACUACAGAGAUGGUGAGCAGAG
ensembl:lncRNA